CACAGAAGACAUGCACGUACACACAGGAAACCAUUAGGACAGCCUCCGUUCAGACAGAGAGCAGCUAGACAGACACACUGAAGUCGGGUGUGUGGUUUUCUCCUGCUCUGUCCUGGCCUGUUGUUGAGAUUAUUUUACUAUCCGACUGAGUGUAACAGUAUAUCGGUUAAUUUACAGACUUUCAGUUUAGUUAAGGUAUGAGAGUUACAAACAUCUUUACAUUCAGAUACAGGAAAUCUGCAGAACCGCACGCAUGCAUGGAAACAGAACUGACACAGCUGGAGUAAAUUCAUUUUCUCUGGAAACUACAUCUCACAGCUUGUUUCUGAAGGCCAUGCAGUCAUAAAGAGUCAUCUGUGAAUUGAACAUCGAUCAUAGAUAGGGUGGAUCCAUAGCCAUGUCUGAGGAACACUAAAACAGACCAGCCUAUAUCACUGGACCACACAUCCACUCCUUCACAAGCUCGUUUGCACCUAACUGCUAUUUAACAUCAGCACGCUAUGGCUUGUUUUUUUCCAAGACGUUGUCAAUAAAACAUGAUGGGGUUGGGAGACCGGAACGAAGUUGACCAGCUGUAAUUACACAACCGAUAAAAAAAUGUAACCUGACACUGGGAUUGAACAUACUGUAAACCUGAUCAUUUCAGUUACUUUUUGUUUACCCCUUCAGAAAUGCUGUGUAAAGGAGGAUCUGGUCUGUGGAUGAGGAGGCACAAAAUAUUCCAUGCAAAGACUGCAAGAAGAAGAAGGAAGUUUCCUCAUACACGGACCCAGGCUGGACUCCUGUAUCUCAGCUCCAGGCAGCUCAGAGGCACCUCUGCCUGGAUGUCGCCAAGAUGGAACAUCUCGUUCAGAAUAGCUGUUGGACACACUGGGUUGGGUCAGAUGGAUAUCACCUGCAUGGACUGUAGAAACUGUGGUCGAUUUUACAGCAGAGGAAGAGGAGGUGAAAUGAGAGCCACCUCCAAUCUACAGAUAGAUAAAAAAAAUCAGGAGAAUUAAAAAGUCAAAUAAG